ensembl:snoRNA
UGUUGUGAUGAUAACGAAUAAUAGGAAGUGCCCUCAGAAACAAUAACUGACAUUAUUCAUACUUGAUCUGAUU